rnacentral:rRNA from 1 species
AUAAUAAUUAUGAAAGCAAAAAGUUAUGGCGGUAUUUUAAGCUUUUCAGAGGAAUUUGCUCUUUAAUGGAUAAAACACCCAAAUCUUACUUGAAUUUGUCAAAUCAAUUUGUAUACCACUAUCAAAUUAAUUAUUAACGUUAAUUAAUAAGAAUUAUAAAUGUUAAAGAAAAUUAAGUCAAGGUGCAGUAAAAAUUCAAGAAUGAAGUGAAUUACAUAUCUUUUUAGAGAAAGUUAAAUUAAAAUUUAAAAUUAGGAUUUGAAAGUAAAAUUAAAAUAGAAUGUUAAUUUGAAUAAAGCUCUAAAAUAUGUAC